rnacentral:rRNA from 1 species
UAGGGAAUCUUCGGCAAUGGGGGGAACCCUGACCGAGCAACGCCGCGUGAGUGAAGAAGGUUUUCGGAUCGUAAAGCUCUGUUGUUAAGGAAGAACGAGUGUGAGAAUGGAAAGUUCAUACUGUGACGGUACUUAACCAGAAAGCCACGGCUAACUACGUGCCAGCAGCCGCGGUAAUACGUAGGUGGCAAGCGUUGUCCGGAUUUAUUGGGCGUAAAGCGAGCGCAGGCGGUCAAUUAAGUCUGAUGUGAAAGCCCCCGGCUCAACCGGGGAGGGUCAUUGGAAACUGGUUGACUUGAGUGCAGAAGAGGGGAGUGGAAUUCCAUGUGUAGCGGUGAAAUGCGUAGAUAUAUGGAGGAACACCAGUGGCGAAGGCGACUCUCUGGUCUGUAACUGACGCUGAGGUUCGAAAGCGUGGGUAGCAAACAGG